rnacentral:lncRNA from 1 species
GUCGACCAUUUGCAUCAUUGUUCUGGAUUUUAUCAUCUACUCAUCUGAACUAAUGAUUGCAUGAUUUCUUCAAUAGUAUUAUUUGGUAGCCACCAUAUUUCUUUCAAAGAGCACAAUAGUAACAAAUAAUCAUGGCCAAAUGUGCCAUGAAGAUAUAUCUAAAUAAUUUCUUUUAUUCUAUGAAGACAAAUGUAAAAGAA